rnacentral:tRNA from 1 species
GGAUUGUGGCUCAGUGGCAGAGCACUUGCCUCGAACGUAUGAAGCACUGGGUUCAAUCCUCAGCACCA